CUUUGACCUUAAAAGUAUUACUGAGGUUUUUUUUUUUUUAAAGGUAGAAAGUUUACAGUGAUUGAGUAUUUAUAUUUUUUCCUGGACGUGGCGGACAAAAUGGGUUCCUGACCAUCCAUUUGCAUGUAGAUCACUAAAUGUGUUUCUGGGAUAGGGUCCAGAUCCACCGCAGUUACUGAAGCCGAAGGAAUGACUAAACAACGUAUGCGAGUGAACUUGUGGUUUCUUCUCAGUCAGUUUUCACAAAUCUCACUCAUUUAAUUAAAACCAAAUUGUUGUAACGAAUAAAGUUAAUCAAGGAAGCCAACUGGUUAUGAUAAGAAUAAUUUGUGUGAUUACUUCUUCAGGCUGUUAUAAAUGCCAUGGAUUACAAUGCUAAAACAGUUGGGACAGAGCAAUAACAUGCUGGAAAAUUGAGUGUUACUAAAAGAAACAGCUGGAGGAACAUUUCACCAAUGCUGGGGAACCAUUUCACCAGCUGGAGCAAUAGUUCACCACUCUGCAAAAAACUGCAUUUACAAAUCAUAGAACAAUUUCAGAAUAAUGUUCCUUGACAUACAGUUGCACAUACUUUUACUAUCCCAUCAAAUAUUAAGAAUCUGGAAGAAGUAUAAGAAUCUGGAGAAAUCUCUGUGCAUAAGUGAUGAGGGCAAAAAGCAUUGUUGCAUGUCUGUGAUUCUGUAAUGAAAAUCACUGCAUAGGCUCAGAAAAACCUCCCAAAAAUCAUUUACUGUGAACACAGUUUGCUGUUUUAUCCAUAAAUGCAGGUUAAGGCUCUAUCACACAAAGAAGCAGCCAUGUGUAAACAUGAUCCAGAAAUGCCACCGUUUCUUUUUGCCAAAGCUCAUUUAAAAUGGACUUGGGCAAAGUGGAAAACUGUUCGGGACCUGAGCGGGACCAUUCCGGACGGUUAUCAGCUCAAAAACCUGCAUCUCUGAUGGUAUGGAGGUGCAUUAGUUGUGAAGCAACAUGUGGUUUCAUCAGACAUCUUUUUCAGAGAAUGCCUAUUGUAAAUAAAAUAUAUUUGUUUGA